rnacentral:rRNA from 1 species
GACGAACGCUGGCGGCGUGCUUAACACAUGCAAGUCGAACGGAAAGGCCCUGCUUUUGUGGGGUGCUCGAGUGGCGAACGGGUGAGUAACACGUGAGUAACCUGCCCUUGACUUUGGGAUAACUUCAGGAAACUGGGGCUAAUACCGGAUAGGAGCUCCUGCUGCAUGGUGGGGGUUGGAAAGUUUCGGCGGUUGGGGAUGGACUCGCGGCUUAUCAGCUUGUUGGUGGGGUAGUGGCUUACCAAGGCUUUGACGGGUAGCCGGCCUGAGAGGGUGACCGGCACAAACGGGGCAGGCGAGCCGACCAAAGCAGGUGGGGGGGGGGGCAAGGGGAAACAGCGCACAAUGGGGAGGCGGCGGAUGCAGACACGGCGCGUGCGGGAUGCCGCCCUUCGUGUUGUACUCCGCUCUCGCCUGUGGCGAAGAGGGAGGCAGGGAAAUGGAAAAAGAAGCAGCGGAUACCGACGCGCAAGCAGGCGGGGUAAUAGAAGAAACAAUCACACGCCACAAC